GGAAGACGAACCUAUGCGAAAGCAUUUGCCAAGGAUGUUUUCAUUAAUCAAGAACAAAAGUUCGGGGAUCGAAGACGAUCAGAUACCGUCGUAGUCCGAACCAUAAACGAUGCCGANUAGGGAUUGGAAGAUGUGCAUUGGCCAUCUUUCAGCACNUCCGAGAAAUCAAAGUUUUUGGGUUCCGGGGGGAGUAUGGUCGCAAGGNUGAGACUUAAAGGAAUUGACGGAAGGGCACCACCAGGAGUGGAGCCUGCGGCUUAAUUUGACUCAACACGGGGAAACUUACCAGGUCCAGACAUAGGAAGGAUUGACAGAUUGACAGCUCUUUCUUGAUUCUAUGGGUGGUGGUGCAUGGCCGUUCUUAGUUGGUGGAGUGAUUUGUCUGGUUAAUUCCGAUAACGAACGAGACCUUCACCUGUAAAUAGCUUAUAUAUUUUUUGCAUAUCCUUAUCGGGAAUCAAAAAUGAGCUUCUUACAGGGACGAUGUGCGUGAGCACAAGGAAGUUGGAGGCAAUAACAGGUCUGUGAUGCCCUUAGAUGUCCUGGGCCGCACGCGUGCUACACUGACGGAUCCAACAAGUAUGCUUUUCAUCCCUGCACCGAAAGGUGUAGGAAAUCUAGCAAUGUCCGUCGUGAUGGGGAUCGACCCUUGCAACUUGGUCGUGAACGAGGAAUCCCUUGUAAGCGCGAGUCAUCAUCUCGCGUUGAAUACGUCCCUGCCCUUUGUACACACCGCCCGUCGCUCCUACCGAUGGAUGGUCCGGUGAAAUCUUCGGAUAUUCUUCAGUUCCGCAAGGGACACGAGAAUAGAAGUUGAUUAAACUUUAUCAUCUAGAGGAAGGAGAAGUCGUAACAAGGUUUCCGUAGGUGAACCUGCAGAAGGAUCA
rnacentral:rRNA from 1 species